AAAUUGAAGAGUUUGAUCAUGGCUCAGAUUGAACGCUGGCGGCAGGCCUAACACAUGCAAGUCGAACGGUAACAGAAAUCAGCUUGCUGAUUUGCUGACGAGUGGCGGACGGGUGAGUAAUGUCUGGGAAACUGCCUGAUGGAGGGGGAUAACUACUGGAAACGGUAGCUAAUACCGCAUAACGUCGCAAGACCAAAGAGGGGGACCUUCGGGC
rnacentral:rRNA from 1 species